rnacentral:tRNA from 1 species
GGUAAAAUGGCUGAUAAAGGCGAUAAAUUGUAAAUUUAUUUAUGAAAAAAAAUCUUUUGCUA